AACGAACGCUGGCGGCAGGCCUAACACAUGCAAGUCGAGCGAGGACUUCGGUUCUAGCGGCGGACGGGUGAGUAACGCGUGGGAAUGUGCCCUUCUCUACGGAAUAGACCUGGGAAACUGGGAGGAAUACCGGAUACGCCCUUGUGGGGAAAAAUUUAUCGGAGAAGGAUCAGCCCGCGUUGGAUUAGGUAGUUGGUGGGGUAAUGGCCUACCAAGCCGACGAUCCAUAGCUGGUUUGAGAGGAUGAUCAGCCACACUGGGACUGAGACACGGCCCAGACUCCUACGGGAGGCAGCAGUGGGGUAUCUUAGACAAUGGGGGCAACCCUGAUCUAGCCAUGCCGCGUAAGUGAUGAAGGCCUUAGGGUUGUAAAGCUCUUUCAGCUGGGAAGAUAAUGACGGUACCAGCAGAAGAAGCCCCGGCUAACUCCGUG
rnacentral:rRNA from 1 species